UUCCACCACUUGUGGCAGUAAUGACAAUAUCAAACAAACUGAACUUAAGCUGAAGUUAAUCAUAGAGAAGUUUAUUCAGCGCAAAAAUUAUGACUUAAGUGGCGAAACUGUAAUUUCAUUUACACUUUAAUUUUAUUGACAGCUUUUCUAAGAUACAUAUUUUUUAUAUUGAUUUAUUUCGAAUGUAUUUAUUUUAGCACCGUGUAAUUAUAUAUACAUUUAUUUUUCAAUCAGUUUUUGUGAGUCCCUUCUUUUGAAUUAUAUUUGAUUAGUGUUUCUUUUGCAAUCAGCCUGACCUAAACCUUGACAACAAUCGUUUUAUCCUGUUGAACUAAGUAUUUUAGAUAUAAUUAUUAAAUACGAUCAAAAUCAAGAGUAGGAUUACUAUUUCAGUAUUAGUAUUUGGUAGUGGAAAAGUUGGGACCCAAAGUCAAAAAGGUUAAGAACGUCCGCCUCGAUGUACGCUGCUGCUAUUUUGAAGGGCGUAGAAACCGAAAAUCACAAGUUACCAGUGAAGGUCUCUGUGCAGGGGUUGACUCCAGCCAGCCGCUUGGAGGUACCAAAGUCUGAAAUCUUCAAGACGCCGCUGUAGGUGUUGACCAGCACGUUGUCGCCCUGAUGGAGACGCAGCGGGUAGCGCAGCCCCUCCAGGAUCUGUCGGGUGUAGAAGAUGAUGGUGGCCUCCUUCAGGGGACCCCAUUUGGAGCGCAGCAAGGCCGACAAGCUCCCUAAAGACAAGAGUCCGAGUCGAGAAAGAUGUCCUUGUAGAUUCGUCCGCACAGACAGAACAUAUCGGGCGCCGGAUGCUCGCAGGACUGCAGGACCUGCAGCAUCACCCGGAGAGCUUGCUCUCUGUCGCCAGGACUGUUCCUCCUGCGAUUCAAGAAUUUAGGA